AGAGUUUUUUCCUGGCUCAGGAUGAACGCUGGCGGCGUGCUUAACACAUGCAAGUCGAGCGAAGCACUUAAGUUUGAUUCUUCGGAUGAAGACUUUUGUGACUGAGCGGCGGACGGGUGAGUAACGCGUGGGUAACCUGCCUCAUACAGGGGGAUAACAGUUAGAAAUGGCUGCUAAUACCGCAUAAGACCACAGUACUGCAUGGUACAGUGGUAAAAACUCCGGUGGUAUGAGAUGGACCCGCGUCUGAUUAGGUAGUUGGUGAGGUAACGGCCCACCAAGCCGACGAUCAGUAGCCGACCUGAGAGGGUGACCGGCCACAUUUGGACUGAGACACGGCCCAGACUCCUACGGGAGGCAGCAGUGGGGAAUAUUGCACAAUGGGCGAAAGCCUGAUGCAGCGACGCCGCGUGAAGGAUGAAGUAUUUCGGUAUGUAAACUUCUAUCAGCAGGGAAGAAAAUGACGGUACCUGACUAAGAAGCCCCGGCUAACUACGUGCCAGCAGCCGCGGUAAUACGUAGGGGGCAAGCGUUAUCCGGAUUUACUGGGUGUAAAGGGAGCGUAGACGGCUGUGCAAGUCUGAAGUGAAAGGCAUGGGCUCAACCUGUGGACUGCUUUGGAAACUGUGCAGCUAGAGUGUCGGAGAGGUAAGUGGAAUUCCUAGUGUAGCGGUGAAAUGCGUAGAUAUUAGGAGGAACACCAGUGGCGAAGGCGGCUUACUGGACGAUGACUGACGUUGAGGCUCGAAAGCGUGGGGAGCAAACAGGAUUAGAUACCCUGGUAGUCCACGCCGUAAACGAUG
rnacentral:rRNA from 1 species